GCCGGGCGCGGUGGCUCACGCCUGUAAUCCCAGCACUUUGGGAGGCUGAGGCAGGUGGAUCACCAGAGGUCAGGAGUUCGCAACCAGCCUGACCAACAUGGAGAAACCCUGUCUCUA
rfam:Gorilla gorilla gorilla genomic chromosome, chr1, whole genome shotgun sequence